rnacentral:lncRNA from 1 species
CACCUUAAAGAUCAAGCUUUUCCCGAUCCUACCAGCAGGAUGAUUCGCAGCAUACUCUUCUUUGCUCAAAUUCCUUGCCCCCAUUAAAGCAAUCGCAACCGUAUCACCAAACACCAUUUGAAUAGCAGUAGACGUCACAGGUGCUAAAUCGAAAGGGCAUAAUUCUCUCUCUAAAGGCAAAUGCACAUUCAGAUCACACAACCCCAUCAAACAAUUAGGCUUUACAGAAGUAACCUGUAUCACCAAAUACCAUUUGUAUAGCUGUAGACGUCACAGGUGCCAAAUCAAAAGGGCAUAAUUCUCUCUCCAAAGGCAAGUGCACAUUCAGAUCACACAACCCCAUCAAACAAUUAGGCUUUACAGAAGUAACCGAGAUUAAAAAGACCCUUUUAGCCUUUGCACAAGGCACAAGCUUUAACAAUUCUU